UACAGAGGGGGCAAGCGUUGUUCGGAAUUACUGGGCGUAAAGGGCGCGUAGGCGGUUCUGUAAGUCCCGCGUGAAAUCCCCCGGCUCAACUGGGGAACUGCGCGGGAAACUGUGGGGCUAGAGUUCAGGAGAGGGAAGCGGAAUUCCGAGUGUAGCGGUGAAAUGCGUAGAUAUCCGGAGGAACACCGGUGGCGAAGGCGGCUUCCUGGACUGACACUGACGCUGAGGCGCGAAAGCGAGGGGAGCAAACGGG
rnacentral:rRNA from 1 species